rnacentral:rRNA from 1 species
GCAUUUAGCCUGUCCCUCACUGGUCCCAUCUGAUCUCAGAACCUAAGCAGUGUUGUGCUCGUUUAGUACCUAGAUGGAAAACUAACCGAGAAAUCUCAGGACUGCA